UACGGGGGGGGCAAGCGUUGUUCGGAAUUACUGGGCGUAAAGGGCUCGUAGGUGGCCAACUAAGUCAGACGUGAAAUCCCUCGGCUUAACCGGGGAACUGCGUCUGAUACUGGAUGGCUUGAAUCCGGGAGAGGGAUGCGGAAUUCCAGGUGUAGCGGUGAAAUGCGUAGAUAUCAAGAGGAACACCUGAGGUGAAGACGGGUUGCUGGGCUGACACUGACGCUGAGGCGCGAAAGCUAGGGUAGCAAACGGG
rnacentral:rRNA from 1 species